AGCCCGUGAUGCCUGACCCAAAGCCAAAGCAGAGAUGGCACGCUUCAUGUCCAUCACGUGGAGGAAAAGCUGCAAGACCUUGACUGCAUCGGGAUGGCCACUCAGAGCAGGAGACGCAUGAGCACCCCGUCAUGACCCCACGAAGGCAGCCCCCUCUGACGUCACCCUGACAAGCAGAGGAUUCUGUCAAGUCAUUCUAGAGGCAACCUGAGACAUUCACCUGAGGGAUGGCUGCUCCUGGCUCCUCUCAUCUGCUCUCCACAUUCUUCUACUCAUCAAUUACAGGGAACUGGUGACGGCCCCAGAACAUCCCUGAGGCUUUCCUCAAGAUUGCAUGAAUCAGAGGUCCAUGCCCAGGUUAACCAAACUCCAGGAAGGAUGGGUUACAGGCCUGACCAGGUCCCUUGGGCCAAAUAGCAAACCAUGACGGAGCAUCUACUAUGGGGCAGGCCUCCCUCCAGCAUAGCCCUGCACGCUCUUAAAAAACUCUGACAUAUCUCGACCAUGAGACCACGGCUGGCCCUUAGCAGGAAGGGGCUGAUGUUGACGUUCCCAGCCCAGUAGGCCGGACCUGGCGGGCAGGUGGCCCAGCGAACGCGUGAACGAUCGCUUCUCAGGACAGGGCCACGUUUUCACAGGACAGACUUGAGUUUGAGCUGAAACAGCUGAGAGAGAGACUUCUCAAGAGAUGGAUGGGUGACCCUGAUCCCACGAAUUCCUCUCUGCCCAGAAAUCCAGCCCCAGCAGGAGCAGGGGGCAGGCCCUAGGGUGAGCAGGCAC
ensembl:lncRNA